UACCAUCAUUUGUUUUCCAUUUUUAAUGCAUUUUUUUGCUAUUUUUUGGCUAUAACUCUCUAAAAAUGCUUAUAUAGUUAUUUCCCUUACAAACCCAAGCAACGCCGGGUGAUACUGCUAGUGACUAAUAUAUGGAAACAGUGUAACGCUAUGUAAGAAAAAGAUGUUCUAUCAGUAAAGGUUUUAGAAGAUUCUUUUCAAUUUGUGAGCAUAAAGAAUAUCGUGUAAUUUGAAAUUUUGUUAUUUACAAGAAUAAUUAAUAAAAGGUGAGAAAUAGUAUUCCAGUUUUUUUUUUCUAAUUAAAUUCAAAAAUAGUCUUUAAAAUUACCAUAAAAAGUGCAUUGAGAUUACGCUCCAAGCUAAUUAUUCCCAUGUUCCUUUGCACAUUUUUAUUACAACACAGCCACACGUGCACAUACACACACACACACAUGUAGGUAUAUUGUAAAUAGAGAUUCAGUUUUAAGCUUUAUCUUUUUUGUCAAUUUCUUUUCAUGUUUGUAUGAUUUCUUUACAAGUUGUUUAAAACCAUGAAGUUCUAUUGACCUUUAUGGACGCACCAUCCAGAUGAAGUGAUGACGGUGGGUGUGUAUUAAUAUACAUUCAUAGAUGCAGACACACACACACACACGCACACCAAUCGCUUAAUUGCAUAGCUUCAUGAACUGAGAUUAUUGUGCAGUUAACCAGAGUAUGCAGCAAACCGAAUUCACAUUGUUGGUGAUAAAUUAUGAGAUUCCAGUACAUUGUAAGUAGUCAUGUAAUGCAAUGUAAGAAUUAUACAUGAAUAAAACGUUUCACCACAA